rnacentral:rRNA from 1 species
AGGAUUCCCCUAGUAACUGCGAGUGAAGCGGGAAAAGCUCAAAUUUAAAAUCUGGCGGUCUCUGGCCGUCCGAGUUGUAAUCUAGAGAAGUAAUGCCCGUGCUGGACCGUGUAUAAGUCUCCUGGGAUGGAGCGUCAUAGAGGGUGAGAAUCCCGUCUUUGACACGGACUACCAGUGCAUUGUGGUAUGCUCUCAAAGAGUCGAGUUGUUUGGGAAUGCAGCUCAAAAUGGGUGGUAAAUUCCAUCUAAAGCUAAAUAUUGGCGAGAGACCGAUAGCGAACAAGUACCGUGAGGGAAAGAUGAAAAGAACUUUGGAAAGAGAGUUAAACAGUACGUGAAAUUGCUGAAAGGGAAACGCUUGAAGUCAGUCGCGUUGGCCAGGGAUCAGCCUUGCUUUUGCAUGGUGUACUUUCUGGUUGACGGGUCAGCAUCAAUUUUGACCGCUGGAAAAGGGCCUGGGGAAUGUGGCAGCUUCGGCUGUGUUAUAGCCCCUGGUCGCAUACAGUGGUUGGGAUUGAGGAACUCAGCACGCCGCAAGGCCGGGUUUCGACCACGUUCGUGCUUAGGAUGCUGGCAUAAUGGCUUUAAGCGACCCGUCUUGAAACACGGACCAAGGAGUCUAACAUGCCUGCGAGUAUUUGGGUGGAAAACCCAAGUGCGUAAUGAAAGUGAAAGUUGAGAUCCCUGUCGUGGGGAGCAUCGACGCCCGGACCAGAACUUUUGGGACGGAUCCGCGGUGGAGCAUGUAUGUUGGGACCCGAAAGAUGGUGAACUAUGCCUGAAUAGGGUGAAGCCAGAGGAAACUCUGGUGGAGGCUCGUAGCGAUUCUGACGUGCAAAUCGAUCGUCAAAUUUGGGUAUAGGGGCGAAA